rnacentral:pre_miRNA from 1 species
GAGACACCCCUAUGGAGCAGGAUUUGCUUCAGUGGGCUUUGGUGCUCACUGAGUCUGAUCCUUGAGUGUGUCACU